CGGACGGGUGAGUAACGCGUGAGAAUCUGGCUUCAGGUUCGGGACAACAGUUGGAAACGGCUGCUAAUACCGGAUGUGCCUUAUGGUGAAAGAUUUAUCACCUGAAGAUGAGCUCGCGUCUGAUUAGCUAGUAGGUGUGGUAAGAGCGCACCUAGGCGACGAUCAGUAGCUGGUCUGAGAGGAUGAUCAGCCACACUGGGACUGAGACACGGCCCAGACUCCUACGGGAGGCAGCAGUGGGGAAUUUUCCGCAAUGGGCGAAAGCCUGACGGAGCAAUACCGCGUGAGGGAGGAAGGCUCUUGGGUUGUAAACCUCUUUUCUCAGGGAAGAAUGAUGACGGUACCUGAGGAAUAAGCAUCGGCUAACUCCGUGCCAGCGGCCGCGGUAAUACGGAGGAUGCAAGCGUCAUCCGGAAUGAUUGGGCGUAAAGCGUCCGCAGGUGGCAAUGUAAGUCUGCUGUCAAAGCGUCUGGCUCAACCAGAUAAAGGCAGUGGAAACUACAUAGCUAGAGUAAGGUAGGGGUAGAGGGAAUUCCUGGUGUAGCGGUGAAAUGCGUAGAGAUCAGGAAGAACACCGGUGGCGAAAGCGCUCUGCUGGACCUUAACUGACACUGAGGGACGAAAGCUAGGGGAGCGAAUGGGAUUAGAUACCCCAGUAGUC
rnacentral:rRNA from 1 species